rnacentral:sRNA from 1 species
CUACAACCAUCUCUUACAAUUUGAAGUACGCACGUAGGAUGUUAAGAAGGUAGCAAUCUCUAUUAUUCAAAGCUAAUCACUGAUCUUCUAAUAUCUACAGAUAUCAGCAAGCAUUAUAUAGAUAACCAUCACACACUACAGCUAUCUAUGAUACUGUGUGCUAUAUCCCUCCUCAUUAAUUCUGGUGUGUUCUGUGUUCUUCUAUCAUCAUAUAGCUAUUUUCUAAUAUAGAUAUCUCUGUUGCAUCUAUUACAAUUAUCUCUCUUCUUCAAAGAUCUGAUCUUCAGAGCUUCUUACUGCAAUGUGUGAAGUUUGUAACAUGUGCUGCAUGAUUAAUAUUGUAUAGAGUUCACAGAAUCAGACUGAAUUAAUUGUUGAGAUUAAUUUCAAAAUGUUGCUGUUUCAGAAGAAUGUUUUUUUAUCUUCAGUGUCAUUGCAGUUCAAUCAUGAUUUAGACACAACUUCUGACCUCUUUUCUUUGACUUUUACAUUCAAAAAUCAUACUCUAACAAAAUCAUCACCACC